rnacentral:snRNA from 1 species
ACUCAUACCUUGCAAGCGAAAUACCAUGUCAUAAAAGUGGUUUUCUCAGGGGAGGCUCAUCCAUUGCACUUUGGGUGCGCUGCUGAUCCCUGUGAUUUCCCUAAAUGUGGGGAACUCAACUGUAUAAUUUGUGUUAAUGGGGGAUUACAUUUGUGAUUUCCCUGG